rnacentral:rRNA from 1 species
GACGAACGCUGGCGGCGUGCUUAACACAUGCAAGUCGAACGGAAAGGCCCUGCUUUUGUGGGGUGCUCGAGUGGCGAACGGGUGAGUAACACGUGAGUAACCUGCCCUUGACUUUGGGAUAACUUCAGGAAACUGGGGCUAAUACCGGAUAGGAGCUCCUGCUGCAGGGUGGGGGUUGGAAAGUUUCGGCGGUUGGGGAUGGACUCGCGGCUUAUCAGCUUGUUGGUUGGGUAGUGGCUUACCAAGGCUUUGACGGGUAGCCGGCCUGAGAGGGUGACCGGCCACAUUGGUACUGAGAUACGGCACAGACUCCUACGGGAGGCAGCAGUGGGGAAUAUUGCACAAUGGGCGGAAGCCUGAUGCAGCAACGCCGCGUGCGGGAUGACGGCCUUCGGGUUGUAAACCGCUUUCGCCUGUGACGAAGCGUGAGUGACGGUAAUGGGUAAAGAAGCACCGGCUAACUACGUG